rnacentral:rRNA from 1 species
AGUUUGGUUGUAGCUGGCCUUUCUAAAAAGGACAUGUGCACACCUCCUCUUUCAUCCACCCCCCCCCUGUGCACUUGUUAAAACGGAGGCUUGGGUUCCCCUUUUAUUUAGGGGGACUGUUUCCGUCUGCUAACACAUAAAAUCAUAUUUAUUAAAUUUGAAUGUAAUCGAUGUAACACAUCUAAUACAAAGUUUCAACAACGGAUCUCUUGGCUCUCGCAUCGAUGAAAAACGCAGCGAAAUGCGAUAAGUAAUGUGAAUUGCAAAAUUCAGUGAAUCCUCGAAUCUUUGAACGCACCUUGCGCUCCUUGGUAUUCCUCGGAGCCUGCCUGUUUGAGUAUCAUGAAAUUCUCAAAGCAAGUCUUUUUGUUAAUUCAAUCGGUCUUUGCUUUGGAUUUGGAGGUUUGCAGAUUCACGUCUGCUCCUCUUAAAUAAAUUAGCUGGAUCUCCGUGAACUUGGUUCCACUCGGCGUGAUAAGUAUCACUCGCUGAGGACACCUGUAAAAAGGUGGCCAGGCUUGAGGAUGAGCCGCUUCUAACAGACCGAUUCGAUUGGUCAAUUUAUUUAUGAUCUGAUCUCAAAUCAGGUAGGACUACCCGCUGAACUUAA